AUGAACGCUGGCGGCGUGCUUAACACAUGCAAGUCGAACGAAGCACUUAUCUUUGAUUCUUCGGAUGAAGAGGUUUGUGACUGAGUGGCGGACGGGUGAGUAACGCGUGGGUAACCUGCCUCAUACAGGGGGAUAACAGUUAGAAAUGACUGCUAAUACCGCAUAAGACCACAGAGCCGCAUGGCUCAGUGGGAAAAACUCCGGUGGUAUGAGAUGGACCCGCGUCUGAUUAGGUAGUUGGUGGGGUAACGGCCUACCAAGCCAACGAUCAGUAGCCGACCUGAGAGGGUGACCGGCCACAUUGGGACUGAGACACGGCCCAAACUCCUACGGGAGGCAGCAGUGGGGAAUAUUGCACAAUGGGGGAAACCCUGAUGCAGCGACGCCGCGUGAGCGAAGAAGUAUUUCGGUAUGUAAAGCUCUAUCAGCAGGGAAGAAAAUGACGGUACCUGACUAAGAAGCACCGGCUAAAUACGUGCCAGCAGCCGCGGUAAUACGUAUGGUGCAAGCGUUAUCCGGAUUUACUGGGUGUAAAGGGAGCGUAGACGGCUGUGUAAGUCUGAAGUGAAAGCCCGGGGCUCAACCCCGGGACUGCUUUGGAAACUAUGCAGCUAGAGUGUCGGAGAGGUAAGUGGAAUUCCCAGUGUAGCGGUGAAAUGCGUAGAUAUUGGGAGGAACACCAGUGGCGAAGGCGGCUUACUGGACGAUGACUGACGUUGAGGCUCGAAAGCGUGGGGAGCAAACAGGAUUAGAUACCCUGGUAGUCCACGCCGUAAACGAUGACUACUAGGUGUCGGGGAGCAAAGCUCUUCGGUGCCGCAGCAAACGCAAUAAGUAGUCCACCUGGGGAGUACGUUCGCAAGAAUGAAACUCAAAGGAAUUGACGGGGACCCGCACAAGCGGUGGAGCAUGUGGUUUAAUUCGAAGCAACGCGAAGAACCUUACCAAGGCUUGACAUAUACAGGAAUAAUCAAGAGAUUGGUUAGCUCUUCGGAGUCUGUAUACAGGUGGUGCAUGGUUGUCGUCAGCUCGUGUCGUGAGAUGUUGGGUUAAGUCCCGCAACGAGCGCAACCCUUAUCUUCAGUAGCCAGCAUUUUGGAUGGGCACUCUGGAGAGACUGCCAGGGAUAACCUGGAGGAAGGUGGGGAUGACGUCAAAUCAUCAUGCCCCUUAUGACCAGGGCUACACACGUGCUACAAUGGCGUAAACAAAGGGAAGCGAGCCUGCGAGGGUAAGCAAAUCUCAAAAAUAACGUCUCAGUUCGGAUUGUAGUCUGCAACUCGACUACAUGAAGCUGGAAUCGCUAGUAAUCGCGAAUCAGCAUGUCGCGGUGAAUACGUUCCCGGGUCUUGUACACACCGCCCGUCACACCAUGGGAGUUGGUAACGCCCGAAGUCAGUGACCCAACCGUAAGGAGGGAGCUGCCGAAGGUGGGACCGAUAACUGGGGUG
rnacentral:rRNA from 1 species